GUAGUUAGCCGGGGCUUCCUCCUUGGCUACCGUCACUUUCUUCGUCACCAAGGACAGAGGUUUACAAUCCGAAGACCUUCUUCCCUCACGCGGCGUUGCUGGGUCAGGCUUUCGCCCAUUGCCCAAUAUUCCCCACUGCUGCCUCCCGUAGGAGUCUGGACCGUGUCUCAGUUCCAGUGUGGCCGUUCAGCCUCUCAGCUCGGCUACCCAUCGUCGGCUUGGUGGGCUGUUAUCUCACCAACUACCUAAUGGGACGCGAACCCCUCCUUUAGCGGAUUGCUCCUUUGACCCCUUCGCCAUGUGGCAUUGUGGUCUUAUGCGGUAUUAGCACUUGUUUCCAGGUGUUAUCCCCCUCUAAAGGUCAGGUUGUUCACGCGUUACUCCACCCGUCGCGCCACUAAGACAUAAACGAAAUACUAUGUCUCCGUUCGUACUGCAUGUGUUAGGCACGCCGCCAGCGUCGUCUGAGCACUAAUACAACUACUNA
rnacentral:rRNA from 1 species